rnacentral:rRNA from 1 species
UUCUUUAAGAAGUAAUUUAAAGUAAAGCCUGCUCAAUGACAAGAAUAAAUAGCCGCAGUAUUACUGUGCUAAGGUAGCAUAAUAACUUGCUUCUUAAUUAGGAGAUCGCAUGAAGGGUUAUACAUUAGGAUCCUGUCUCUUUUAACCAAAUAAACUUAAGUAAAAAGUAAAAACUCUUUUAACCAAAGCGGGACGACAAGACCCUGACAAACUUAACAUUUAGUUGGGGAAACAAAAUAAUAAAUAUUUAUUCAUAACUUAAACAUAACUUUAAAAUAAAAACAAGACUAGUUACUGCAGGGAUAACAGCGUUAUUUCUUUUAAGAGCUCUGAUCUAAAAAGAAGAUUACGACCUCGAUGUUGAAUAAUUCCGCUAUACGGGUGCAACAACCCUAUAAGGUAGUCUGUUCGACUAUUAAAAAAUUACA